GGAAAAGUGUGAAAAUUCAAGUAAUCAAGCAAUCAAAGGUGGUGAGCAUUCUGGCAAAAGUAAAGAGAUAAUACCUGAGAAUCAAGAAUCAGAGUACUUGGAAUUCGACUCCCGAAAUAGCUCAGGAUAGUUGGUAGAUAGCUCACUUUGUUGAGGGC